UACGUAGGGCGCAAGCGUUAUCCGGAAUUAUUGGGCGUAAAGAGCUCGUAGGCGGUUUGUCGCGUCUGCCGUGAAAGUCCGGGGCUCAACUCCGGAUCUGCGGUGGGUACGGGCAGACUAGAGUGAUGUAGGGGAGACUGGGAUUCCUGGUGUAGCGGUGAAAUGCGCAGAUAUCAGGAGGAACACCGAUGGCGAAGGCAGGUCUCUGGGCCGAUACUGACGCUGAGGAGCGAAAGCGUGGGGAGCGAACAGG
rnacentral:rRNA from 1 species